rnacentral:rRNA from 1 species
AUUGAACGCUGGCGGCAGGCCUAACACAUGCAAGUCGAGCGGAUGAAGGGAGCUUGCUCCUGGAUUCAGCGGCGGACGGGUGAGUAAUGCCUAGGAAUCUGCCUGGUAGUGGGGGAUAACGUCCGGAAACGGGCGCUAAUACCGCAUACGUCCUGAGGGAGACAUUGGGGGAUCUUCGGACCUCACGCUAUCAGAUGAGCCUAGGUCGGAUUAGCUAGUUGGUGGGGUAAAGGCCUACCAAGGCGACGAUCCGUAACUGGUCUGAGAGGAUGAUCAGUCACACUGGAACUGAGACACGGUCCAGACUCCUACGGGAGGCAGCAGUGGGGAAUAUUGGACAAUGGGCGAAAGCCUGAUCCAGCCAUGCCGCGUGUGUGAAGAAGGUCUUCGGAUUGUAAAGCACUUUAAGUUGGGAGGAAGGGCAGUAAGUUAAUACCUUGCUGUUUUGACGUUACCAACAGAAUAAGCACCGGCUAACUUCGUG